rnacentral:rRNA from 1 species
UACGUAGGUGGCAAGCGUUGUUCGGAAUUAUUGGGCGUAAAGGGCGCGUAGGCGGCUUGUUAAGUCGGCUGUGAAAGCCCGGGGCUCAACCCCGGAGGGUCAGCCGAUACUGGCAGGCUAGAGUACGGAAGAGGUAGCUGGAAUUCCCGGUGUAGUGGUGGAAUGCGUAGAUAUCGGGAGGAACACCAGUGGCGAAGGCGGCUUCCUGGACCGGUUCUGACACUGAGGAGCGAAAGCGUGGGGAGCGAUCCGG